rnacentral:snRNA from 1 species
GGAACCGGGACGUGGCGGU